UUUGAUGUGAAUUGAUUUAUAUUUGAAUACACUCGUAUAGAAGUGAUUAUUAUGAGAUGAUGUUGUUUGGACAG
rnacentral:pre_miRNA from 1 species